GUUCAUGAACAACAUUUUUUUUUGGAUGCAGAUGACUGAUUGUUGGGCCUAUUUCGUAUUUGGGCUUCAAUGGUAGGUUACUGCUUAGGUAGGUUUAGGAUCUCUGCACAGAGAAAAGUGGCUGCUUCCUCUCAACCAGCUUCUUCCGUCGUAGCCCCAACCUUUCAUUCCAUGCCUAUUCUGCUAUAUUCACAGCUCUGUGCCGUCCUUCCCGUAUCUUCCUUUCCAGGAUUCUCGCUUAAAGAUGGCUGCUCUAACCCUAUGCAAUUCCUGUUCCACGCGUUCUUCUUUCGAUUUUCCAUGCUUUCUUCCUUAUAGCUGUGUCGUUAAUGCUUUGUAGUUACCUGCAAGCUCUCAAAACCAGCUGGUCACGUUGCUUUACAGGACCCUACCUCCCCUCAAUCUUCUUUACAGCUUUGUUGGUUUUAUGGAAGCCCAAAUUUAUGCUUAUAAAUUCAACCAGUGCGUUUGUUCUGUUCUUUGUUCAUCCAAUUCCCCUAAUUCCAGAUACUUUUGUUUCAGUUGCUUUGUUAAGCUACUCUUCACAAUAAUUUUAUGUCCCAGAUUCGAUAUGGAGUUUCCCCCAAUAAUGACACCUGGAAGGCCUAUUGAAUCGAUGAUAGGGCUUAAAUUCAGAUUGCAGAAUUGUAUUUUCUGAGACUGCAAUGUAUUGGUUCUGCACUGUGCAUUGUUUCUGGUAUGAGUUGGUUAUCAGGUUGGUGGAUUUUUUUUACCCUGUAAUGUAAAUGCUGCUGCACUGUGCUCUGGUAUAUGCUGUUUUCUGAUCCUGGUGGGGUUUUUUGCUGUUGCGGGUGUGUCUGGAAUGAUGAUGGGGGUUUUUGGAUUUAGGCAGGAUAGUUUGUAGCAGGAAUAGCCCUAUUUGAUGGGUUUUUGGGAUGGUGGGAUUUUGUCAUAAGUUUACUUUUACAUUUUGGUGUGUUUUGUAUUUUUUAUCUUGUGCUGGGGCCAUGUUUUGCACAUAUGAUGCAUGAAAAUGCUCCUUGGUGGGUUGCAUGAAAAGGUUUAUUAGUCUGGCAUGUCCUACAACUUGCUAGAGCGGCUAGGUGAAGGGAGCAAGCCAACGGCUGGUGAUGUUGCUGAUGAACUUAAUUUGGAUUUGAUAGUUAUUAGCAUGGAAACAAUUCAUACAAAGCAUAUAGAUGCAAAUUUGCUUGUUGUCCCCUGUCCUGUCAUGUUUUUGCCAUUGUAGUUUGCAUUUGUUUUUAAGAUAGGAAAUGAUUUAACUUUUACCUGCUAUGACUUCUUUGCUGUGAAAUUCCAUGUUGUUUAGCGUUUGCUACUUCAGCAUCAGGGAUACUUUGUUAAAAAUGCUUAACUGUACCUGACUAGGUGGGUGUUUAUAUGUGUAUGCUAAAGCUUGAAUGAUAUUUAAACCUGGAAAGGAAAUGGUGGGCAUGUUAGGAAUUUCGAUCCUUUCAUGUUUCACAUGAGAACUGUUGCUAGUGCCAAGGAAAAUUAGAUUUUCUGUCUC